GAAUAUGAUUAAAUAGUGCGUUAGAUUGUUUCCAGAAAGGUGUAAUGAAAUAAAAACAUCAACUAUCUUUUACAGCUUGCAGCUGUGAUCAGAAUAAACAUGUGGACUUCAGUGAUAUAUCUGGGAAUUUACAACCAACUCAUUUACAACCACAGUGGACGGAAAUCGGCAUAGGAUUCAACUGAACAAGGGUUAUUUAAAGAGUAAAUGGUCCACUGGAGACACUUUUAGGGGUGGUGAUAAAAAGUAUUGGUUUUCUUAUCAGCUGCACUGCCAUUUAAUAUAAAAAAGUCAGAAGAAAAGAAAAUGUACUGUGCAAGAAGAAUGGUCAAUUUCCAUCAAUUCCACAUCAUGACUGAAUAAUACUGAAAUUCAGAAAACACAACAGUAGUCUUGUUGAACAGUUUUUCACAGAAAAGAAAAAUAUUGAUUUUUCUUGCUUUCUUUAUUUAUUACCAAAAUAUUAUUAUUUUUUUAUAAUUGCAAUUAAGUCUGAUCAUAUAUUAAAAGUAUUUCUUAUUUAUUUACCAGCAAAAUAAUAUAAACCAUUAUGAAACAUAAAUGUGUGGUAAAUUACCAACUCAACAACCCCCGCCCUGAAAAAUGCAAAAGAUGAAUAAAAUUUCCAAUUUCAACAAUUUGGUAAUGAUAACUGGUGUGACCAAAAACAACAUUCUGACAUUAUUUUUGUGAAAUUCGCAGCUUUUAAUACUUUUAUGAAUAAAAAAUUAAAAUCAUGAUCUAAGUCAAUGUUGCAUAUGAAUUUCACGAAAUUGACGCCAAAAGUGAACUAGGCCAGAUAAAAUGCAAUAGUGCAAGGGCAUACACUUGAUCAAAUAAAUUGAAAAUUUAUAUAUCUUACCAUUA